CACAGAGAGCUUGCUCUCGGGUGACGAGUGGCGGACGGGUGAGUAAUGUCUGGGAAACUGCCCGAUGGAGGGGGAUAACUACUGGAAACGGUAGCUAAUACCGCAUAACGUCUUCGGACCAAAGUGGGGGACCUUCGGGUCUCACACCAUCGGAUGUGCCCAGAUGGGAUUAGCUAGUAGGUGGGGUAAUGGCUCACCUAGGCGACGAUCCCUAGCUGGUCUGAGAGGAUGACCAGCCACACUGGAACUGAGACACGGUCCAGACUCC
rnacentral:rRNA from 1 species